rnacentral:lncRNA from 12 species
GAGUCCAGGAGCGCUCCGAUGUCGGACAGGUCACCCCGUCUCUCCCGCUGGAUGGAGGAGACCAGGCAUCACUCGAAAAUGGCGCCGAAAGCGCUGAGGCUCCUCAUUCAAAUUCGUUAGAGCCAACCCCGCCGCCGCGGGGCAUGCCGGGAACGCGGGCUGCCUCCACAGCUGUCAAGGCCGCCUCCUCGCCCCGCUCCGGCUUUCCCGGCACUUCUGCGCACGCGCACACUCCCCCCCGCCCCCCGGCGCUCCCCCCCACCAGCUCCGCGCCUCGGACAUGCGCAGAGCCGUCGCUGCCGGCCGCUCGCUUGCUCCGCUUCCUCCGUCUCACGCCUCCGACCUCCUCUCCCGCGCGUGCGUGCAGCGCCCGGGCUCCGCGGCGGACGUGGAAGAGCCGGCCGCGGGCUGCGGGGACCCGGGGCCGCGGGGGGGCCUGUCAGCCGAUGCGCGCUGAUCCUACUGUCCGGGGAAAGCAAAACGGGGGUGCAGCUUGGGCGGAAAAGAAAACCGCUCGGUGGGCAGGGGCUGACCUCCCGAGUGCGGAGUGGGUCUCUAACACCCGGUGGGCGCUACACGUGUGCUUAGGGCAGCCCCGCCCGGGCGCCGAGCGCCUGCUGAGCGCCAGCGCUUUGGGGGAGCGGGAGCGGGAGCGGUUGCACGCUGAGCCUCAGCGGAGCCGGACCAGGAAAAUUUGUAUCAUGUGGAAUAGAUGGUUCCAUCUUUCGGACAUCAGAGAGCAAAGUAGAAAAGACUUGGGGAAGCAAUUGGACCCUCUGACCCUCCUAGGAUGCAGUCUUAGAAGUGGAUUUUCCAAAAAUUGA